AUUGGACGCUGGCGGCAGGCCUAACACAUGCAAGUCGAGCGGAUGAAGGGAGCUUGCUCCUGGAUUCAGCGGCGGACGGGUGAGUAAUGCCUAGGAAUCUGCCUGGUAGUGGGGGAUAACGUCCGGAAACGGGCGCUAAUACCGCAUACGUCCUGAGGGAGAAAGUGGGGGAUCUUCGGACCUCACGCUAUCAGAUGAGCCUAGGUCGGAUUAACUAGUUGGUGGGGUAAAGGCCUACCAAGGCGACGAUCCGUAACUGGUCUGAGAGGAUGAUCAGUCACACUGGAACUGAGACACGGUCCAGACUCCUACGGGAGGCAGCAGUGGGGAAUAUUGGACAAUGGGCGAAAGCCUGAUCCAGCCAUGCCGCGUGUGUGAAGAAGGUCUUCGGAUUGUAAAGCACUUUAAGUUGGGAGGAAGGGCAGUAAGUUAAUACCUUGCUGUUUUGACGUUACCAACAGAAUAAGCACCGGCUAACUUCGUG
rnacentral:rRNA from 1 species